AUGCCAGCCCCAGCCUACCUAUCUCCUCCCUUCCUCCCGCUCCACCACCCCGCCACCAGCACGAGCGCGCACCUCCUCUCCGGUGGCCGCAACCAUCGAAGCCGCCCACGGCACAUGUCAGGUACCGCCAACGAGGCAUCUCCGUUCGGAGUCAGGAAGGAUAUGCUCCUCCGGAUACCUACGAGGCCACAACAUAUGCUCUGCAGAAAGUCUUCGUCCCAUAAUACUAUUAACGUAAUGGCGUGCGGCUACACCCUACCAGGUCCCGUGCUUCUUAAAGCCAAGGUCGGCGACGGUGACCGCGACGGAGGGGACGACCUCCUCCUGGCAUCGCGGCGACACGCGUAA
rnacentral:rRNA from 1 species